GGCUGGUCCAAAGGUAGUGAGUUAUCUCAAUUGAUUGUUCACAGUCACAGAUUGAACUCCUGUUCUACAUUUUCCCCAUUCUCAUUACUGCACUUGACUAGAGAUA
ensembl:Y_RNA Y_RNA Y RNA